AUGUCAGGCAAUCCCGGGAACGCGGCAGCCCCGAAGCGGCAGCGGAGGCGGCGCCCGAGGGACGCGGAGGACGGCUCCGCGUUCCCCAGGGUUGUCACGAGCCGGCCAAGAGGUGCCGACCAGGUCCGCGAGGUGGCCAUGGUGCCAGCGGAGGCCAUGGAUAUCGAUGCGGGGACAAGUUCUAACGCCGCCACAGGAGGCGUGGAUGGAUCGUACCUCAGCGACACACGGUUCGAUCAAUGCGCUGUUUCUCCAUUGUCAUUGCAAGGAAUCAAAGAUGCUGGGUAUGAAAGGCUGACCCGCGUCCAGGAGGCAACUCUGCCAGUAAUUCUUCAAGGCAAGGAUGUUCUUGCAAAAGCAAAGACUGGAACAGGAAAAACCGUUGCAUUUUUGCUUCCAGCCAUUGAACUUCUGUCUACAUUACCCUGUUCUACAUCGAUAAAUUUGCUGGUGAUGCUCCCUACUAGGGAGCUCGCAUACCAAGUGGCCGUUGAGGCUAGGAAGCUUCUUAAGUAUCACAGCUCACUGGGCGUGCAGGUUGUAAUUGGUGGCACAAAAUUAUCUCAAGAGCAAAGAAGCAUGCGAUCCACGCCAUGUCAGAUUCUUGUUGCUACACCUGGAAGGCUCAUCGAUCAUCUUCAAAACACACCUGGUUUUUCUGCCCGGAUUAAAGGUGUGAAGGUUCUUGUUCUUGAUGAAGCUGACCGCCUAUUGGAUAUGGGAUUCAGAAGAGAUAUUGAGAAAAUAAUUGCUUUCAUUCCUAAGGAACGGCAAACACUGCUAUUUUCUGCUACUGUUCCAGGAGAGGUCCGUGAAGUAUCUCAUUUAGCAAUGCAGAAGGAUUACAAGUUCAUCAAUACUGUUCAAGAGGGUGAUGAGGAGACACAUGCACAGGUAAAUCAGAUGUACAUGGUUGCACCAUUAGACCUCCACUUCUCUAUAUUAUAUGGUGUCUUAAAGAAGCAUAUUGCAGAAGAUGCAGAAUACAAAGUUAUUAUAUUCUGUACUACAGCAAUGGUCACCAAGCUUGUUGCUGAAAUUCUCUCCCAGCUGAAACUGAAUAUAAGAGAGAUUCAUUCCAGGAAGUCACAAUCUGCCAGAACAAAGGUCUCAGAUGAAUUUAGGAAGUCAAAGGGCUUGAUAUUAGUCAGUUCUGAUGUUUCUGCCCGUGGUGUUGAUUAUCCUGAUGUCUCGCUUGUCAUACAGGUUGGGUUGCCUUCUGAUAGACAGCAGUAUAUACAUAGACUUGGUCGUACUGGAAGGAAAGGCAAGGAAGGGCAAGGCAUUUUACUGUUAGCUCACUGGGAAAAAUAUUUCCUUAGUAGCGUUAAUGAUCUGUCAAUAACAGAGACGGUGGCACCUCCAGUUAAUCCAAGCAUUCAAACAGAAGUGAAAGGUGCCAUCAGGAGAGUGGAGAUAAAGACGAAAGAAUCGGCCUAUCAAGCAUGGUUAGGGUACUACAACUCAAACAAGACCAUCAGCAGAGACAAGUCAAGACUUGUUAAGCUUGCAGAGGACUUCAGUCAGAGCAUGGAGCUUGAAAUUGUGCCAGCCAUACCGAAACUCAUUCUUCGGAAGAUGGGCCUUCAAAAUGUUCCUGGGCUGAGGUCUUCGUGA
rnacentral:rRNA from 1 species